GGCAUUUAGUUUCCAUUGAAUUUUCAGAUUGUAUUCAUGAGUUAUGGCUGCCAUUAGUACUCAGAAAUUCUGAGUCAUAUUCACUUGAAGCCAAGAGUAUUGGUCAUUGUUUAGACUGCUUUAAUCAGUCCAUGGUAUUGAAUAAUAAGGAGGAAUAAGGUUGCAUAUAAUUCUUAUGUUGUUACUUCAUUUUUUCUAGAUGCUUGCUAACUGUUUGUGAUAAUAUCAGUCUGCUGUAGGAGUGCUAUUGUUGCAUUAAAUUCAUGUAUUUGCAUCAGGAAAAUACAAAAACAAUUGCAUGUUCACUCUAGGAGAUUGUCUUGUGGAUCUAGUAGCUUGCAAGCUAUAAUAUCUUUGCCAAUUGAAGUUAAUACACCCCUAAAAUAAGUCUGAAGUAUUAUAUCAGUCCUAUGCCAAGUGUUUGACGAAAUUUUUCAAGGGUCAAGAAGUCUGAAAUUUAUAUCAGAAUUGGCAAGGGAUAUUACAUUUAUUUUGAUUAGACCCUGCUCAUUCUAGAAUCGGAACCGUAGCCCAUUGAGGUAUCUAGCAGUACCUACUCAUCAUCUUCUUGCAAAUUUGCCCAUGUUUGCAACCUCACAAACUCUUCUGAAUAUUCUAAUACAAAUAACUCCUUUUGACUAAAAGUUUGAAACUUUUUGAAUAAUUACGUUUGAUAAUUUGUAGGUCUAAGAAUUUGGAUCUCAAUUGAUUCAACAUCUUGGGCCACUAUCUGGUUUUAUCUUUACUCUCUCUUUUUUGGCAAUUCUGGAUAUCAACAGCGUGAGACUUCAUCUUUGUCACUACAGACUUUAUCCUCCAUAGGUUCUCUACAUUCAUGUUUUUCAUUUCAAAAUACCCUUCAAAUUCUUGUUGCCAAUCAUUGAACAAAUCAGGAAACAGAUCAUCUGUGAAAUUUGAAACCUCAGCAUCAACAUUGGUCCCCUUUUCUGAAAUAGCUUUGAUCAACCUUUCCACAGGAUCUACCGCUUCAUUUUCUCCAGCCAGGAUUUCCUCAUUCUCUGUUCAUCUUCAGAUUCGUCCUGCUAGAAUUGGGCUUCAAUUGCUUCUAAUCUCUUAACCAAUCCAUCUCUAGUAUUCUGUCUAUGUCCAGCUCCUUUCCCUGUUCAAAUGGACUUUAUAUGUUCCUAUGAUACCAAAACUGAUGCAAAAUACUCUGAUCUGCAGAGAAAUCUCUAGCUGGAGCUCAAAAAAGAGUAUAAAAUUUAAAACAUCAACAGUAAAAUAGAAAUCAUUACAAAUUUGAAAUGCACUUUAGUUUCUGGCCUCAAUUACAUCACAAAUUCUCUUACAAUGUCUUCUUGAGCCCAGUCCCCCAAAAACUUGGUUUCCUCAGCAACCAACCCUUGUAAUAAACAAAAACCCCACUCUAGAAUAGGUAAACCCCAAUUAAUUACAUAGAGCAACCACAUCUUACAUGUACGGUAGGCACAACAUUUUUUUUCCUAAAAUGUCUUAAUGAUUAAAACUGACAGGAAGUGGGAAAUAUUCAUCAUUAAGUUGAUUGUUAUACAUCACUAAUGCUGUUCAUUGUGCAUGGGAUUGAGAAUUCAUAAUUCAUCAUUCUCAAGAAAUAUAUAUCUUGUUGUCAAAAUGUGUUCUGAAAUCCCUGCUUUUGAAGUCUGGUUGAUGCUGACUAAGCUAAUGGAAAGAAUCUAGUAUAUAAAAGAUGAAGGCCAUAAAAGGGUUUAUUACUUUUUCAAUCUGCUUUUUCUGCUACUAUUUUUGAGAGGUAGAUCCCCUUCAUUUUGUUUGCAAUUCACUUAUACAUUCAAGUUUUUAACCAUCCAAACUUUGGAGGGUGGCUGUUUGCUGCAAUUUCCAGAGCACUCAUUGAAAUAAUAUGCCUUCUGUAGGUUUGUAUCAUCACAUAACAAGUAGCCCAAAAACAAUCCUCAAAGCCCUAUUUAUACCUCUUAUGGAAGACAUUAAGCACUCUUUGGGUGAUUGCAUUCCUUUUUAAUGUUUGAAAGUUCAAUAUAUUCAAUAGAAAAGUAGUUUAAAGAUAUUUCUACCAUCAGUAUUGAGUGAAUAAGCAAGUUAGGUUCUUGAGUUUGACUAUGGUUAUAUCCAUGGUAACAUUAUUAGUGAAAAAUUCAUGAUCAAUUGCAACCUGCCAGAUUUUUUAUGUCAUUUCAAAUUUCAGAACAACACUGUAGUCGAACUGAGAUAUUGACCUCAGAAAAGAUCUGUUUCUUUUUGCAAAACUUGGAAAUAAUUUGCAACUUUUUCAAUAAUUUCUAACUCGAGGAAUUCCUGAGAUUUUAAAAAGGCAGUUAUUAAAUUCUAUUUUUACAAACCUAUCAUUUUUCUUUUCUCUUUUUAACAAUUAGUUUACUGAUUUUUUCAUGUUUUAUACCCAGGUAGUUGAAUUCCAUUUACACUUUUCCUAUGUUGUGCCAAUGCAGUGUAAACGGAAUGCUAUUAUGGCUAUACCUGAUCCACGCUGUCAAGUGACAUUCAAUACAUUUUAUUUUUUCCUACCAACCAAGAAAAACAAAAUCUUCUUUUUUUGGCAUUGUAUUUGACCGUCAUAAUAACCAACUCAUUGUUUUGCAUUCA